rnacentral:rRNA from 1 species
UGUGGUUAUAAUAGCAAAGAGGAUACCCCUGUUCCCAUUCCGAACACAGAAGUUAAGCUCUUUAGCGCUGAUGGUACUUGGUGGGAAACUGCCU